CCAAACCUCACAUUCCACCAUUUCACCCAAAAGAGACUCAAAGUCUCUUCUCUGAACGAGAUCCCUAAAGAGGGGUUGGCUCCACUGCACAUACACUGCCCCCUCAGCCAAGCCGACCACCGCAAGUCGAGAGCCAGGGCGUCUCCGGCGUCGCUAAUCGCCAUCAAGGUCAUGGCCGGCGACUGCUCCGAUCUCUUCCUCCAUUUCUUCACGCGAAACCGACCCCAACUCUGAGAUCUCGCCGUUCCCGUCACCUCCACAGAAACUGGCCGCCGCCGUCUCCGGAUCACGAACUAAGGUCACACCAGCGAUGCAACUCACUACCGGAACCGUCACCACUCAAUCCAAGGCAUCGCCAGUGACACCAACCAUCAAUUGGACCAGUCUGCGCGAAGGAGAGAAGAACCGUUGCUUCCCUGAGUCUAAUCUCCACUGCCACGAACAAAUCCAGCCAUCGCCGCCGGAUGAAUGGCGUUGCUACUGGAGAUUCAGGAGUCAAGAGCUCUCUCCUGAACUAUGAUGGUUACGUGUUGGUGGUGAGUCUCCAAUGGUCAAGCUCCGUUGGUGAGGUGCUCGAGGUAAGUAUUGGAUGGUGCCUAAGCUUUGGUUUUUUUUUUUAGUGUCUUGAAGAAGAUGAAAGAGUGAUGUGUUUAUGGACGAAGAAAAAAAGAAUCGAUAGGGGAUUGUGCGUGUGGAUAAAAAUUGUUUUUUUGAGGGGGUCGUGAUGUCCUGAAUGAUAUUGGUUUUCUCCCUUUUCUUCUUUUGUUUUGCUCUCUCUUAUCA